AGCCCGGUAGUGUAGAGGCCAAGCAUGGCGGCCUUUGGAGCCGCAGACGCCGGUUCGAAUCCGGCCCGGGCUACCA
rnacentral:tRNA from 1 species